rnacentral:rRNA from 1 species
CACGUAGGGCGCAAGCGUUGUCCGGAAUUAUUGGGCGUAAAGAGCUCGUAGGUGGUUUGUUACGUCUGCUGUGAAAACCUAGGGCUUAACCCUGGGCUUGCAGUGGAUACGGGCAGACUAGAGGUAGGUAGGGGAGAAUGGAAUUCCAGGUGUAGCGGUGAAAUGCGUAGAUAUCUGGAAGAACACCGGUGGCGCAAGCGACUUGCUGGGCCGUAACUGACACUGAGGAACGAAAGCUAGGGGAGCGAAUGGG